UACGGAGGGGCGAGCGUUAUUCGGAAUUAUUGGGCGUAAAGGGCGCGUAGGCGGCUCUAUAAGUCAAAGGUGAAAUCCCUCGGCUCAACUGAGGAACUGCCUUUGAAACUGUUGGCUUGAGGCCGGGAGAGGGUAGUGGAAUUCCCAGUGUAGCGGUGAAAUGCGUAGAUACUGGGAGGAACACCAGUGGCGAAGGCGGCUACCUGGACCGGUUCUGACGCUGAGGCGCGAAGGCCAGGGGAGCAAACGGG
rnacentral:rRNA from 1 species